rnacentral:lncRNA from 1 species
UUUAGUUGGGCUUUGUUGUGCAAAAGGGCUUUGAUGAUAUCAUCAAUCCAACCCCUUUAAUCUCCACCGGAAACGCAAGCCAUCACCGUCGUCGAUGGCUGCUGCUCGCCGGAGAGAAGCUUCAAUGAAAAACACAACUUCUCUGUAAAAGCAAAGCCACGUCCUCAAUCUUCUGCUCCCUCUAUCGCCAUCUCCGUCGUCGCUGGAUAGACGCUCCAAUAUCAUGAUUCCUCGCCUGAAAUCGACAUCAUCUUCAAUCACGAUCUUCUCUUCUUUGGUUGUCGAAGAGCAGCGACAAAGAAAACGUCGAACAAUUUGGAGUCAAAGAUGGAUCAAACAACUCAUGAAAUUCGAAGAGAUAAAAGAGGUAAACGAAGUAGAAAUUGAAAAAUAGAAUCAUCGUAAGCAAAUUGGGCAUGAAAUCGAAGAAUAGAAUCUAUAACUCUCUCUCUCUCUCUCUCUCUCUCUCUCUCUCUUUGUUUCUCUGGGUUUGUGAAUUGUGAUGAUAUUUAAAACGUUUGUGAUGUAUAUAUAGAUUUUCUUGUAAUCAAAGUUUCCAUUUUUUUUGGAAUUCAAAGUUUCCUUUUUUUUACUCUUUUCAAAAUUUCCUUUUUUUUUUGUGAGUCUUUUGUGUUGAUUUUUCUCUUAACUGUUUUGUGUUUGUUUCCUUUUUUCUUAAUAGGUUCAGGAUACGAUUUGUGAUGUAAAUCGUAAGAUUCUGCGAGCUUGUGUAGAUUUUUGGAAACAAAGUUUGAGCAUUUUCAUGACAACAAGUCUCUUUCUCUGUCUUUGCGUUGCUUGCUUUGUUAUCAUCUUCUAAAUCUGCAGGAAAGUCUCUUCAUGAUUUUGAUAGAUAAAUCUUACAUAGCCGAGAUUCUCGAGCCAAGAAGAAGAAGAAGAAGAAGAUACUUGUGUUCAGGAUUUGGUUGAGAUGGAAUCAACCAAUGCACAGGCUCAUGAGGCUGCACAAGCUUCUUCUUUAUAGAUAUCUGAUUUGUUAGAAGAGCUAAAUCAGCUUUAAAGUUUAAAGAUAUCUGAUGAUUUGGCAUUGGUUUUGAAAGAGGUGGCUAUGGAUUGUAGUUAAAUGGAAGAGAGGCUUGUUGUCGCGGAAACAGAGCUCGAGGCUCCAAGGUUCUCAGCAAUGGAAGGAGAAACACGAGGAAGCGCAGACUCAUAUCUCACAGUGAGAUAAUUCGUUUUUUUUUUAAAUAAUUUUUUACAAAUAAUCUAAGAUUUUUUUUCCGAUUUUGCAUAAUAACCCAUGCUUAACACUAGGAAAAAAAAGAGUAGCUUAUUAGCAAUUAACAGUACUAUAGGUGUACACACUACACAUAUGACAUAACUAGAGUUACGAUUUAAAAAAAAAAAACAUAAAACACAUUGAGAAGAAUGAAAUAAUUGGAUUUAAGUUUUCAGUUUUACUCCAAUCUGGUUUAUUGAGUUAAUUCUUUAGCGUUACGUUGGCUUGUAGAUCAAGCUCCGGCGAAGUGUUACUAAUACGGCGUCGCAUUGGAGAAUGCAUUCUCACAUAAAAGUUAAGGAAAAGCAACAAAAUCGC